UCCUCAGGACAGGGAGAGGGAAGGGAGAGGUUAGCCUGGAGGUUUCCUCAGGACAGGGAGAGGUUAGCCUGGAGGUUUCCUCAGGACAGGGAGAGGUUAGCCUGGAGGUUUCCUCAGGACAGGGAGAGGUUAGCCUGGAGGUUUCCUCAGGACAGGGAGAGGUUAGCCUGGAGGUUUCCUCAGGACAGGU